UCUCCGUAGGUGAACCUGCGGAGGGAUCAUUAAGAAUUGAACAGCAGUGUCUGGCACUGUUGCCCAUUCUAACCCUUUGUGAACUACAACUCUGUUGCUUCGGGGGGCCGCCCGGGAGUGUCGCGUUCUGCGCGCUCGCCCGGGAGCCACGGCGCCCCGGUGGCCCAAAAAACUCUUGUUUUGUAUGGCCUAUCAGAAAUACUAUCUAAUAGUUAAAACUUUCAGCAACGGAUCUCUUGGUUCUGGCAUCGAUGAAGAACGCAGC
rnacentral:misc_RNA from 1 species